rnacentral:rRNA from 1 species
GACGAACGCUCUCAGGCGUGCUUAACACAUGCAAGUCGAACGGAAAGGCCCUGCUUUUGUGGGGUGCUCGAGUGGCGAACGGGUGAUUAACACGUGAGUAACCUGCCCUUGACUUUGGGAUAACUUCAGGAAACUGGGGCUAAUACCGGAUAGGAGCUCCUGCUGCAUGGUGGGGGUUGGAAAGUUUCGGCGGUUGGGGAUGGACUCGCGGCUUAUCAGCUUGUUGGUGGGGUAGUGGCUUACCAAGGCUUUGACGGGUAGCCGGCCUGAGAGGGUGACCGGCCACAUUGGGACUGAGAUACGGCCCAGACUCCUACGGGAGGCAGCAGUGGGGAAUAUUGCACAAUGGGCGGAAGCCUGAUGCAGCAACGCCGCGUGCGGGAUGACGGCCUUCGGGUUGUAAACCGCUUUCGCCUGUGACGAAGCGUGAGUGACGGUAAUGGGUAAAGAAGCACCGGCUAACUACGUGCCAGCAGCCGCGGUGAUACGUAGGGUGCGAGCGUUGUCCGGAUUUAUUGGGCGUAAAGGGCUCGUAGGUGGUUGAUCGCGUCGGAAGUGUAAUCUUGGGGCUUAACCCUGAGCGUGCUUUCGAUACGGGUUGACUUGAGGAAGGUAGGGGAGAAUGGAAUUCCUGGUGGAGCGGUGGAAUGCGCAGAUAUCAGGAGGAACACCAGUGGCGAAGGCGGUUCUCUGGGCCUUUCCUGACGCUGAGGAGCGAAAGCGUGGGGAGCGAACAGGCUUAGAUACCCUGGUAGUCCACGCUGUAAACGGUGGGUACUAGGUGUGGGGUCCAUUCCACGGGUUCCGUGCCGUAGCUAACGCUUUAAGUACCCCGCCUGGGGAGUACGGCCGCAAGGCUAAAACUCGAAGGAAUUGACGGGGCCCCGCACAAGCGGCGGAGCAUGCGGAUUAAUUCGAUGCAACGCGUAGAACCUUACCUGGGUUUGACAUGGAUCGGGAGUGCUCAGAGAUGGGUGUGCCUCUUUUGGGGUCGGUUCACAGGUGGUGCAUGCCUGUCGUCAGCUCGUGUCGUGAGAUGUUGGGUUAAGUCCCGCAACGAGCGCAACCCUUGUUCACUGUUGCCAGCACGUUAUGGUGGGGACUCAGUGGAGACCGCCGGGGUCAACUCGGAGGAAGGUGGGGAUGACGUCAAGUCCUCAUGCCCCUUAUGUCCAGGGCUUCACGCAUGCUACAAUGGCUGGUACAGAGAGUGGCGAGCCUGUGAGGGUGAGCGAAUCUCGGAAAGCCGGUCUCAGUUCGGAUUGGGGUCUGCAACUCGACCUCAUGAAGUCGGAGUCGCUAGUAAUCGCAGAUCAGCAACGCUGCGGUGAAUACGUUCCCGGGGCU